rnacentral:rRNA from 1 species
AACCAACCGGGAUUGCCUCAGUAACGGCGAGUGAAGCGGCAAAAGCUCAAAUUUGAAAUCUGCGUAAGCCGAGUUGUAAUUUGAAGAUGGCUACUUUGGUAAUGGCUCUUGUCUAUGUUCCUUGGAACAGGACGUCACAGAGGGUGAGAAUCCCGUGCGAUGAGAUGUCCAUUACCGUGUAAAGUGCUUUCGAAGAGUCGAGUUGUUUGGGAAUGCAGCUCUAAGUGGGUGGUAAAUUCCAUCUAAAGCUAAAUAUUGGCGAGAGACCGAUAGCGAACAAGUACAGUGAUGGAAAGAUGAAAAGAACUUUGAAAAGAGAGUGAAAAAGUACGUGAAAUUGUUGAAAGGGAAGGGCUUGAGAUCAGACUUGGUAUUUUGUAUGGCUUGCUCUCGGGCGGGUCCUCUGCAGUUUACUGGGCCAGCAUCGGUUUGGGUGGCAGGAUAAUAGCUUAGGAAUGUGGCUCUACUUCGGUGGAGUGUUAUAGCCUUUGUUGAUACUGCCUGCCUAGACCGAGGACUGCGUCUUUUGACUAGGAUGCUGGCAUAAUGAUCCUAAGCCGC